CAGUCGCCGCGGUAACACGUAGGUGGCAAGCAUUAUCCGGAAUUAUUGGGCGUAAAGCGCGCGUAGGCGGUUUUUUAAGUCUGAUGUGAAAGCCCACGGCUCAACCGUGGAGGGUCAUUGGAAACUGGAAAACUUGAGUGCAGAAGAGGAAAGUGGAAUUCCAUGUGUAGCGGUGAAAUGCGCAGAGAUACGGAGGAACACCAGUGGCGAAGGCGACUUUCUGGUCUGUAACUGACGCUGAGGAGCGAAAGCGUGGGGGGCGAACAGGAUUAGAUACCCCAGUAGUCCCUGUCUCUUAUAC
rnacentral:rRNA from 1 species